GUCUACAGCCAUGCCACCUUGAACAGGCCUGAUCCCGUCUGAUUUUGGAAACUAAGCAGGGUUGGACCUGGUUAGUACUUGGAUGGGAGACCACCUUAGGAAGACCAGGUGCUGCAGGUG
rnacentral:rRNA from 1 species